AACGAACGCUGGCGGCAGGCCUAACACAUGCAAGUCGAGCGAGGACUUCGGUCCUAGCGGCGGACGGGUGAGUAACGCGUGGGAACGUGCCCUUUGCUUCGGAAUAGCCCUGGGAAACUGGGAGUAAUACCGGAUGAGCCCUUUGGGGGAAAGAUUUAUCGGCGAAGGAUCGGCCCGCGUUGGAUUAGGUAGUUGGUGGGGUAAUGGCCUACCAAGCCGACGAUCCAUAGCUGGUUUGAGAGGAUGAUCAGCCACACUGGGACUGAGACACGGCCCAGACUCCUACGGGAGGCAGCAGUGGGGAAUCUUAGACAAUGGGGGAAACCCUGAUCUAGCCAUGCCGCGUGAGCGAUGAAGGCCUUAGGGUUGUAAAGCUCUUUCAGCUGGGAAGAUAAUGACGGUACCAGCGGAAGAAGCCCCGGCUAACUCCGUG
rnacentral:rRNA from 1 species